rnacentral:rRNA from 1 species
UACAGAGGUCCCGAGCGUUGUUCGGAUUCACUGGGCGUAAAGGGUGCGUAGGUGGUGAGGUAAGUCGGAUGUGAAAUCUCCGGGCUCAACCCGGGAAACUGCAUUGGAAACUACCUUGCUUGAGGGUUUGAGGGGGACUGGAAUUCUCGGUGUAGGCAGUGAAAUGCGUAGGAUAAUCGAGAGGAACACCAGUGGCGAAGGCGAGU